UGGGUUAGUCGGGACCUAAGGAGAGACCGAAAGGUGUAUCCGAUGGACAACAGGUUGAUAUUCCUGUACUAGAGUAUGUAGUGAUGGAGGGACGCAGUAGGCUAACUAAAGCAGACGAUUGGAAGAGUCUGUCUAAGCAGUGAGGUGUGAAUUGAGUCAAAUGCUUAAUUCUAUAACAUUGAGCUGUGAUGGGGAGCGAAGUUUAGUAGCGAAGUUAGUGACGUCACACUGCCAAGAAAAGCUUCUAGCGUUUAAACAUACUCUACCCGUACCGCAAACCGACACAGGUAGUCGAGGCGAGUAGCCUCAGGUGAGCGAGAGAACUCUCGUUAAG
rnacentral:rRNA from 1 species